rnacentral:rRNA from 1 species
AGUGAACGCUGGCGGUAGGCCUAACACAUGCAAGUCGAACGGCAGCACAGUAAGAGCUUGCUCUUACGGGUGGCGAGUGGCGGACGGGUGAGGAAUACAUCGGAAUCUACUUUUUCGUGGGGGAUAACGUAGGGAAACUUACGCUAAUACCGCAUACGACCUACGGGUGAAAGCAGGGGAUCUUCGGACCUUGCGCGAUUGAAUGAGCCGAUGUCGGAUUAGCUAGUUGGCGGGGUAAAGGCCCACCAAGGCGGCGAUCCGUAGCUGGUCUGAGAGGAUGAUCGGCCACACUGGAAGUGAGACACGGUCCAGACUCCUACGAGAGGCAGCAGUGGGGAAUAUUGGACAAUGGGCGCAAGCCUGAUCCAGCCAUACCGCGUGGGUGAAGAAGGCCUUCGGGUUGUGAAGCCCUUUUGUUGGGAAAGAAAAGCAGCAGGUUAAUACCACGCUGUUCUGACGGUACCCAAAGAAUAAGCACCGGCUAACUUCGUG